ACACUCCUGCGGGAGGCAGCAGUGGGGAAUAUUGCACAAUGGGCGCAAGCCUGAUGCAGCCAUGCCGCGUGUAUGAAGAAGGCCUUCGGGUUGUAAAGUACUUUCAGCGGGGAGGAAGGCGAUAAGGUUAAUAACCUUGUUGAUUGACGUUACCCGCAGAAGAAGCACCGGCUAACUCCGUGCUAGCAGCCGCGGUAAUACGGAGGGUGCAAGCGUUAAUCGGAAUUACUGGGCGUAAAGCGCACGCAGGCGGUCUGUCAAGUCGGAUGUGAAAUCCCCGGGCUCAACCUGGGAACUGCAUUCGAAACUGGCAGGCUAGAGUCUUGUAGAGGGGGGUAGAAUUCCAGGUGUAGCGGUGAAAUGCGUAGAGAUCUGGAGGAAUACCGGUGGCGAAGGCGGCCCCCUGGACAAAGACUGACGCUCAGGUGCGAAAGCGUGGGGAGCAAACAGGAUUAGAAACCCUUGUAGUCCCAUG
rnacentral:rRNA from 1 species